rnacentral:rRNA from 1 species
GACGAACGCUGGCGGCGUGCUUAACACAUGCAAGUCGAACGGAAAGGCCCUGCGCUUGUUGGUUUCUCGAGUGGCGAGCGGGGGAGUAUCACGUGAGUGACCUGCGCUUUGCUUUGGGAGAACUUCAGGGAACAGGGUAUAUAAUACCGUAUAACCUCGUGCUGCACGUUGGGGUUUGUAAAGUUUCGGCGUUUGUGGAUGGACAGGCGGCCUUUCAUCUUGUUGGUGGGGUAGUGGCGUACCAGGGCUUUGAGGGGUAGCCGGACUGAGAGGGUGACCGGCCCCAUUGGGACUGAGAUACGGGCAAGAGUCAUACGGGAGGCAGCAGUGGGGAAUAGUGCACGAUGCGCGGAAGGCUGAUGGAGGAACGCCGCGUGCGGGAUGACGGCUUUCGGGUUGUAACCCGCUUUCGCCUGUGACGAAGAGUGUGUGACGGUAAUGGGUAAAGAAGCAACGGCUAACUACGUG